UGCGAAUGGCUCAUUAAAUCAGUUAUCGUUUAUUUGAUAGUACCUACUACUUGGAACGUGGUAAUUCUAGAGCUAAUACAUGCUAAAAACCCCAAUUGGAAGGGGUGUAUUUAUUAGAUAAAAAACCAAUGCCCUUCGGGGCUCUUUGGUGAUUCAUAAUAACUUAACGGAUGCAGCCUUGCGCGGCGACGGUUCAUUCAAAUUUCUGCCCUAUCAACUUUCGAUGGUAAGGUAUUGGCUUACCAUGGUUUCAACGGGUAACGGGGAAUUAGGGUUCGACUCCGGAGAGGGAGCCUGAGAAACGGCUACCACAUCCAAGGAAGGCAGCAGGCGCGCAAAUUACCCAAUCCCGACACGGGGAGGUAGUGACAAUAAAUACUGAUACAGGGCUCUUUCGGGUCUUGUAAUUGGAAUGAGUACAAUUUAAAUCCCUUAACGAGGAACAAUUGGAGGGCAAGUCUGGUGCCAGCAGCCGCGGUAAUUCCAGCUCCAAUAGCGUAUAUUAAAGUUGUUGCAGUUAAAAAGCUCGUAGUUGAACCUUGGGCCUGGCUGGCCGGUCCGCCUCACCGCGUGUACUGGUCCGGCCGGGCCUUUCUUUCUGGAGAUCCCCAUGCCCUUCACUGGGUGUGGUGGGGAACCAGGACUUUUACUGUGAAAAAAUUAGAGUGUUCAAAGCAGGCCUUUGCUCGAAUACAUUAGCAUGGAAUAAUAGAAUAGGACGUGCGGUUCUAUUUUGUUGGUUUCUAGGACCGCCGUAAUGAUUAAUAGGGAUAGUCGGGGGCAUCAGUAUUCAAUUGUCAGAGGUGAAAUUCUUGGAUUUAUUGAAGACUAACUACUGCGAAAGCAUUUGCCAAGGAUGUUUUCAUUAAUCAGUGAACGAAAGUUAGGGGAUCGAAGACGAUCAGAUACCGUCGUAGUCUUAACCGUAAACUAUGCCGACUAGGGAUCGGGCGAUGUUGCUAUCAUGACUCGCUCGGCACCUUACGAGAAAUCAAAGUUUUUGGGUUCUGGGGGGAGUAUGGUCGCAAGGCUGAAACUUAAAGAAAUUGACGGAAGGGCACCACCAGGCGU
rnacentral:rRNA from 1 species